rnacentral:rRNA from 1 species
AGCGAACGUUAGCGGCGCGCUUAACACAUGCAAGUCGCACGAGAAAGGGCUUCGGCCCCGGUAAAGUGGCGCACGGGUGCGUAACACGUAGGCAAUCUUCCCUUGAGCGGGGGAUAACGUUUCGAAAGAGACGCUAAUACCGCAUAAGACCACGAUCAGUUCGCUGAUUGCGGUCAAAGCUGGCCUCUUCAUGAAAGCUAGCACUUAAGGACGAGCCUGCGGCCCAUCAUGCUAGUUGGUAGGGUAACGGCCUACCAAGGCGAAGACGGGUAGCUGGUCUGAGAGGAUGAUCAGCCACACUGGAACUGAAACACGGUCCAGACUCCUACGGGAGGCAGCAGUGGGGAAUAUUGGACAAUGGGCGCAAGCCUGAUCCAGCGACGCCGCGUGAGUGAUGAAGGCCUUCGGGUUGCAAAGCUCUGUUGAGGGAGAAGAAAACAGUUAGGGCGAAUAGGCCUAGCUCUUGACGGUAUCCCUUUAGAAAGCACCGGCUAACUCUGUGCCAGCCGCCGCGGUAA